rnacentral:lncRNA from 1 species
CCAAUUCCUAUAAUAUUUACACUGAUGAUAUAAAGCUGCAAAGGCCAAAUGCUGGGAAAGGUGAAAACAUGUUUAUUGAAAUUACGUGUGUGUCUUUUCAAAGGCAGUGCAAAGGACAGGGAACAAUCUUGGCUCCAGGGAUAUGAAUUGAGAAAGUCUUACUGGGACUUGGAGCCAUCCUCAAUAAUAGACUACAAACAGAUAUGAUGUGUGUCACUUCAGAGAGAUGGCAAUUUAAAGCUGGCUCUGUGUGUCUCCUUCGACCUUCCCUGCUCUUGAGGUUACAGCGUGGAGGCCACAUGCUGCAGAUGGCAAAAGGAAUAAUAGCUCCUACCUGCCCAUAUGUGACUUCAUGUGAGUGAAAAGUAAACCUUAUUCUUGUAACAUACUGAUAUUUGUUUUCUUUUCCCUUUGUUCCCCUAACUGGUAUGUCUAACUUUGACUAACUGACCUUUAAUAACUUAUUUAUAUUUUCUAAGCUUACAGUUUUCUCAUGUAAAAGUUGGGAUAGUGAUCAUACUUAACUAGUUACUGUUUUAAGGUUAAAAAUAAGUGUGUUAAUGAGCAUCUUCUAGGAGCUGGUUUGAAUCAAGCAACUAGUUAAUGUUAGCUCUCAUCAUUAUUAAGAUAUUUGUAUUAUUGCAAUUUACAAACUGAGUACACAAUUUACAAACUGUGUAUAAGCAACUAGUUAAUGUUAGUCCUCAUCAUUAUUAAGAUAUUUGUAUUAUAGCAAUUUACACACUGUAUGCACAAUUUACAAACUGUAUAAAUUAUACACAUUAAAAAGUGCAUAUAUAAAUGAGAAAUUAUAUUCCAUGAAAUGGAAUAAGGUAGAGGGAUUCAGGAAUUGUGGAUAACUGGAAAUUGUUAAGAAAUACAUAUUAGAAUUUGAUAGAAAAGUGGGUAACAGAAUAAAUUUUUAAUAGAGAGAAUAGAGUUCAGAUGAAGUUAAAAGCAUAAUUCCAAAUAUCACUUUUAACUUUUAACUCCUUUCACUACUAUCUGUCAACCUAAAAACAAAAGAAAAGCUUGCAACUUGUAUAAUUUCCUGGUUUGGAGAAUGAGAAAAGCACCGAAAGAAGGUCAGUAAAGUACAAAGGAAAAGGCUGGUUCUGGGCCCUGGCUGGGUAGAGACACAACUGAGUUCCGAAGGCAGUGGGUGGGUGAGGGGCAGGUGGCCAUUUGACUAUUUGAAAAUUUUUCACUCUCUGGAAAUACUCACUUUUUUAUGAGAUGUAAAUCCUUUUCUCCUACCCUUGAUAAAUUUUUGUAAAAUAAUGCCCGUGCAGCAUAAAUAACGACAUGAACACUAAACUAAAUAUUUUUUUAAUCAAUGCCCUUAUGCCAGUGGCAAUUUGGACUAAGACAUAAUUGUCAAAAUCGCAGGGCUUUUCUAAAA